CCUACGGGUGGCAGCAGUGAGGAAUAUUGGUCAAUGGGCGCGAGCCUGAACCAGCCAAGUAGCGUGAAGGAUGACUGCCCUACGGGUUGUAAACUUCUUUUAUAAAGGAAUAAAGUGAGGCACGUGUGCCUUUUUGUAUGUACUUUAUGAAUAAGGAUCGGCUAACUCCGUGCCAGCAGCCGCGGUAAUACGGAGGAUCCGAGCGUUAUCCGGAUUUAUUGGGUUUAAAGGGAGCGUAGAUGGGUUGUUAAGUCAGUUGUGAAAGCUUGCGGCUCAACCGUAAAAUUGCAAUUGAUACUGGCAGCCUUGAGUACGGUUGAGGUAGGCGGAAUGCGUGGUGUAGCGGUGAAAUGCAUAGAUAUCACGAAGAACUCCGAUUGCGAAGGCAGCUUACUAACCUGCCACUGACAUUGAUGCACGAAAGUGUGGGUAUCAAACAGGAUUAGAUACCCGGGUAGUC
rnacentral:rRNA from 1 species